rnacentral:rRNA from 1 species
UACGAGAGGCCCAAACGUUAUCCGGAUUUAUUGGGUUUAAAGGGUGCGUAGGUGGUUCCAUAAGUCAGUGGUGAAAUACGGCAGCUUAACUGUCGAGGUGCCAUUGAUACUGCGGAACUUGAGUACAGACGAGGUAGGCGGAAUUGACGGUGUAGCGGUGAAAUGCUUAGAUAUCGUCAAGAACACCAGUGGCGAAGGCGGCUCACUGGCCCGAUACUGACGCUGAGGUGCGAAAGCGUGGGGAGCAAACAGG